CGGCGAGUGAAGCGGCAACAGCUCAAAUUUGAAAUCUGGCCUCGGCCCGAGUUGUAAUUUGCAGAGGAUGUUUCUGGCGCGGUGCCUUCCGAGUUCCCUGGAACGGGACGCCAAAGAGGGUGAGAGCCCCGUAUGGUCGGACACCAAGCCUGUGUGAAACUCCUUCGACGAGUCGAGUAGUUUGGGAAUGCUGCUCUAAAUGGGAGGUAAAUCUCUUCUAAAGCUAAAUACCGGCCAGAGACCGAUAGCGCACAAGUAGAGUGAUCGAAAGAUGAAAAGCACCUUGAAAAGGGGGUUAAAUAGUACGUGAAAUUGUUGAAAGGGAAGCACUUAUGACCAGACUUGGGCCGGGCGGCUCAUCAGGGGUUCUCCCCUGUGCACUCCGCCCGGCACAGGCCAGCAUCGGUUCUCGUGGGGGGAUAAGACCGUCAGGAACGUAGCACCCUCCGGGGUGUGUUAUAGCCUGGCGGACGAUACCCUCGUGGGGACCGAGGUUCGCGCAAGGAUGCUGGCGUAAUGGUCAUCAGUGACCCGUCUUGAAACACGGACCAAGGAGUCGUCCAUUAGAGCGAGCGUUUGGGUGUAAAACCCGCACGCGUAAUGAAAGUGAACGCAGGUGAGAGCUUCGGCGCAUCAUCGACCGAUCCUGAUGUUCUCGGAAGGAUUUGAGUAAGAGUUUUAACGGACGGACCCGAAAGACAGUGAACUAUGCUUGUAUAGGGUGAAGCCAGAGGAAACUCUGGUGGAGGCUCGCAGCGGUUCUGACGUGCAAAUCGAUCGUCAAAUAUGAGCAUGGGGGCGAAAG
rnacentral:rRNA from 1 species